GACGAACGCUGGCGGCGUGCCUAAUACAUGCAAGUCGAACGCAGGGGGGACGGGUGAGUAACACGUGGGUAACCUCCCAUCAGAGGGGAUAACAGUUGGAAACAGGUGCUAAACCGAUACGGAGGGAUGGACCCGGGGUGGAGUAGCUAGUUGGUGGGGUAACGGCUAACAAAGGCGACGAUGCAUAGCGGGCCGGAGAGGGUGAUCGGCCACACGGGAACUGAGACACGGCCCAGACUCCUAAGGGAGGCAGCAGUGGGGAAUCUUGGGCAAUGGGCGCAAGUCUGACCGAGCAACGCCGCGUGGAUGAAGAAGGUUUUCGGAUCGUAAAGCUCUGUUGGUAGAGAAGCGUUAUCUAACCAGAAAGCCACGGCUAACUACGUGCCAGCAGCCGCGGUAAUUC
rnacentral:rRNA from 1 species